UGAAGGUAGAGGUGCGGACACUAAGAGUAUGGACUUGGAGAAAGGUGAGUUUCGACGAAAAGUCUUGAAAGGAGUGGACUGCCGAAGUGAAAAAAGGCUCAUCCUUUUUUUUGCUGGUUCUGCAACCGAAUAGGUGCAGAAUUGUCAAGACAUAUUGUCUUGGAGAGCUAUCUU
rnacentral:ncRNA from 1 species